rnacentral:rRNA from 1 species
CUACGGGAGGCACCAGUGGGGAAUAUUGGACAAUGGGGGCAACCCUGAUCCAGCAAUGCCGCGUGAGUGAAGAAGGCCCUAGGGUUGUAAAACUCUUUCAGUCGUGAAGAUGAUGACGGUAACGACAGAAGAAGCACCGGCUAACUUCGUGCCAGCAGCCGCGGUAAUACGAAGGGUGCUAGCGUUGUUCGGAAUUACUGGGCGUAAAGCGCGCGUAGGCGGAUAGAUCAGUCAGAGGUGAAAGCCCCGAGCUCAACUUGGGAACUGCCUUUGAUACUGUUUAUCUUGAGUCCGAGAGAGGGUAGUGGAAUUCCCAGUGUAGAGGUGAAAUUCGUAGAUAUUGGGAAGAACACCAGUGGCGAAGGCGGCUACCUGGCUCGGUACUGACGCUGAGGUGCGAAAGCGUGGGGAGCAAACAGGAUUAGAUACCCGGGUAGUC